GGGGACGACGUCAAGUCAUCAUGGCCCUUACGGCCAGGGCUACACACGUGCUACAAUGGUCGGUACAAAGGGUUGCUACACAGCGAUGUGAUGCUAAUCUCAAAAAGCCGAUCGUAGUCCGGAUUGGAGUCUGCAACUCGACUCCAUGAAGUCGGAAUCGCUAGUAAUCGCGGAUCAGAAUGCCGCGGUGAAUACGUUCCCGGGCCUUGUACACACCGCCCGUCACACCAUGGGAGUUUGUUGCACCAGAAGUAGCUAGCCUAACUGCAAAGAGGGCGGUUACCACGGUGUGGCCGAUGACUGGGGUGAAGUCGUAACAAGGUAGCCGUAGGGGAACCUGCGGCUGGAUCACCUCCUUA
rnacentral:rRNA from 1 species